GACGAACGCUGGCGGCGUGCUUAACACAUGCAAGUCGAACGGAAAGGCCCUGCUUUUGUGGGGUGCUCGAGUGGCGAAUGGGUGAGUAACACGUGAGUAACCUGCCCUUGACUUUGGGAUAACUUCAGGAAACUGGGGCUAAUACCGGAUAGGAGCUCCUGCUGCAUGGUGGGGGUUGGAAAGUUUCGGCGGUUGGGGAUGGACUCGCGGCUUAUCAGCUUGUUGGUGGGGUAGUGGCUUACCAAGGCUUUGACGGGUAGCCGGCCUGAGAGGGUGACCGGCCGCAUUGGGACUGAGAUACGGCCCAGACUCCUACGGGAGGCAGCAGUGGGGAAUAUUGCACAAUGGGCGGAAGCCUGAUGCAGCAACGCCGCGUGCGGGAUGACGGCCUUCGGGUUGUAAACCGCUUUCGCCUGUGACGAAGCGUGAGUGACGGUAAUGGGUAAAGAAGCACCGGCUAACUACGCG
rnacentral:rRNA from 1 species